GACGAACGCUGGCGGCGUGCUUAACACAUGCAAGUCGAACGGUAAGGCCCUUCGGGGUACACGAGUGGCGAACGGGUGAGUAACACGUGGGUGAUCUGCCCUGCACUUCGGGAUAAGCCUGGGAAACUGGGUCUAAUACCGGAUAGGACCAUGGACUUCACGGUUUGUGGUGGAAAGCUUUUGCGGUGUGGGAUGGGCCCGCGGCCUAUCAGCUUGUUGGUGGGGUAAUGGCCUACCAAGGCGACGACGGGUAGCCGGCCUGAGAGGGUGUCCGGCCACACUGGGACUGAGAUACGGCCCAGACUCCUACGGGAGGCGAGCAGUGGGGAAUAUUGCACAAUGGGCGCAAGUCUGAUGCAGCGACGCCGC
rnacentral:rRNA from 1 species